rnacentral:rRNA from 1 species
CACUGUACUCACUAGUGAUUUCCGGUUGAUCCCGGCAGAGGCUACUGCUAUUGGGAUUCGAUUAAGCCAUGCGAGUUGAAUGAAUUUAGAUUCAUGGCGUACGGCUCAGUAACACGUGGAUAACUUACCCUUAGGACUGGGAUAACUCUGGGAAACUGGGGAUAAUACCGGAUAUUAGGCUAUGGCUGGAAUGCUUUGCCUUUGAAAUGUUUCUUGUAUUCGCCUAAGGAUAGAUCUGCGGCUGAUUAGGUCGUUGGUGGGGUAAUGGCCCACCAAGCCUAUGAUCGGUACGGGUUGUGAGAGCAAGAGCCCGGAGAUGGAACCUGAGACAAGGUUCCAGACCCUACGGGGUGCAGCAGGCGCGAAACCUCCGCAAUGUACGAAAGUGCGACGGGGGGAUCCCAAGUGUUAUUCUUAAUAGGAUAACUUUUCAUUAGUGUAAAAAGCUUUUAGAAUAAGAGCUGGGGCAGACCGGUGCCAGCCGCCGCGGGUACACCGGCAGCUCAAGUGGUAGCUGUUUUUAUGGGCCUAANGCGU